rnacentral:rRNA from 1 species
AUGAACGCUAGCUACAGGCUUAACACAUGCAAGUCGAGGGGCAGCAUGGUCUUAGCUUGCUAAGGCCGAUGGCGACCGGCGCACGGGUGAGUAACACGUAUCCAACCUGCCGUCUACUCUUGGACAGCCUUCUGAAAGGAAGAUUAAUACAAGAUGGCAUCAUGAGUCCGCAUGUUCACAUGAUUAAAGGUAUUCCGGUAGACGAUGGGGAUGCGUUCCAUUAGAUAGUAGGCGGGGUAACGGCCCACCUAGUCUUCGAUGGAUAGGGGUUCUGAGAGGAAGGUCCCCCACAUUGGAACUGAGACACGGUCCAAACUCCUACGGGAGGCAGCAGUGAGGAAUAUUGGUCAAUGGGCGAGAGCCUGAACCAGCCAAGUAGCGUGAAGGAUGACUGCCCUAUGGGUUGUAAACUUCUUUUAUAAAGGAAUAAAGCCGGGUAUGGAUACCCGUUUGCAUGUACUUUAUGAAUAAGGAUCGGCUAACUCCGUGCCAGCAGCCGCGGUAAUACGGAGGAUCCGAGCGUUAUCCGGAUUUAUUGGGUUUAAAGGGAGCGUAGAUGGAUGUUUAAGUCAGUUGUGAAAGUUUGCGGCUCAACCGUAAAAUUGCAGUUGAUACUGGAUAUCUUGAGUGCAGUUGAGGCAGGCGGAAUUCGUGGUGUAGCGGUGAAAUGCUUAGAUAUCACGAAGAACUCCGAUUGCGAAGGCAGCCUGCUAAGCUGCAACUGACAUUGAGGCUCGAAAGUGUGGGUAUCAAACAGGAUUAGAUACCCUGGUAGUCCACACGGUAAACGAUGAAUACUCGCUGUUUGCGAUAUACUGCAAGCGGCCAAGCGAAAGCGUUAAGUAUUCCACCUGGGGAGUACGCCGGCAACGGUGAAACUCAAAGGAAUUGACGGGGGCCCGCACAAGCGGAGGAACAUGUGGUUUAAUUCGAUGAUACGCGAGGAACCUUACCCGGGCUUAAAUUGCAGAUGAAUUACGGUGAAAGCCGUAAGCCGCAAGGCAUCUGUGAAGGUGCUGCAUGGUUGUCGUCAGCUCGUGCCGUGAGGUGUCGGCUUAAGUGCCAUAACGAGCGCAACCCUUGUUGUCAGUUACUAACAGGUUCCGCUGAGGACUCUGACAAGACUGCCAUCGUAAGAUGUGAGGAAGGUGGGGAUGACGUCAAAUCAGCACGGCCCUUACGUCCGGGGCUACACACGUGUUACAAUGGGGGGUACAGAGGGCCGCUACCACGCGAGUGGAUGCCAAUCCCCAAAACCUCUCUCAGUUCGGACUGGAGUCUGCAACCCGACUCCACGAAGCUGGAUUCGCUAGUAAUCGCGCAUCAGCCACGGCGCGGUGAAUACGUUCCCGGGCCUUGUACACACCGCCCGUCAAGCCAUGGGAGCCGGGGGUACCUGAAGUGCGUAACCGCGAGGAGCGCCCUAGGGUAAAACUGGUGACUGGGGCU